AUUGAACGCUGGCGGCAGGCCUAACACAUGCAAGUCGGACGGUAGCACAGAGAGCUUGCUCUCGGGUGACGAGUGGCGGACGGGUGAGUAAUGUCUGGGGAUCUGCCCGAUAGAGGGGGAUAACCACUGGAAACGGUGGCUAAUACCGCAUAACGUCGCAAGACCAAAGAGGGGGACCUUCGGGCCUCUCACUAUCGGCUGGACCCAGAUGGGAUUAGCUAGUAGGCGGGGUAACGGCCCACCUAGGCGACGAUCCCUAGCUGGUCUGAGAGGAUGACCAGCCACACUGGAACUGAGACACGGUCCAGACUCCUACGGGAGGCAGCAGUGGGGAAUAUUGCACAAUGGGCGCAAGCCUGAUGCGGCCAUGCCGCGUGUAUGAAGAAGGCCUUCGGGUUGUAAAGUACUUUCAGCGGGGAGGAAGGCGAUGUGGUUAAUAACCGCAUUGAUUGACGUUACCCGCAGAAGAAGCACCGGCUAACUCCGUGCCAGCAGCCGCAGUAA
rnacentral:rRNA from 1 species